AAAACAUGCUGAAAUUAAUGAAAUCAAGAAUUAGCACAAAGAGGAAGUGUCCAGUUUGAAGGAUAAACUUGGACACAUGGAGGCCCAACAGCAAAAACAAGAGGAAGAGAUUCAUGGGUUGCGAAAUAUGAUCAAGUUAAUACUGCAGUGAUCGGAACCUGGAAUGAGGCCAGAAGAACUAGAAGCUUUAUUACAAGACGCCCAACAGUUUCCGAUUGAUGCGAAUAGCGGCCAUGGAUCAACUCAUUUUCCGAACUUAGAUGUGGGUAACAAUGAAGAUUAAGCAAUGAAGAUUAAGCUGACUAUUAUUGUGGUUUAUUGGCUAAGAUAGAGUGCUAUUUAGAAUCUUUACAUGUAUGGUUGACUAAUGAUUUUUAUUAGAAGAUACUUUUAUUGGCUAAGGAUAUUAUGGUUUUGAUAUGGCUAUGCUUACUUUAGUGUGAGAUGUAUGAAUUUUUACAGUUAACUUCAUUCUAGUACUUUUGGAUCAA